AUAUUUUGCAACAGGCAAAGGUAGAUUGAGGUAAAAAAUAUUUACCUGUAUGUUUUAUUAUAGCGACCACGGAGGGGGCGAUGGACAGUUACUGAGAGUCUGUUUGGGAGACUUCUCUGAUCUUCAGCCUCGUUCUGUUUUCCUUUUACUUCUCCCUCUGUCAGUAAGUAGAAAUCAAGAAGCUUAAAACUGAGCAUGAUAGUCAGGAAUGCUGGCCAGUGCCCACUGGAAUGGUUUUGACUGGGGAGGGCAGAAAUUUCUUCCAGUGUGAUUGGUUGUCGUAUUCUAGAUAAAAGCCUGGCGAGAUACAUUGUAUCAGUGUGAUGCUAUUACUGGUUUGUGUGUUUGUUUAUUUGUUUUUGCUUUAUGUUGAAUUUAAGUUUCAAUUUAAUUUCUUUUUUUCUGGUGGAUGUGGAAUCCAGGCUUUCACAGGCUGAGAAAAUGUUUUCCCAGUGAGCAGUCUCAGCCAGGAUGAUAUAGUUCUCAUCAUACUUCACAUCAUUGUUCAUAUAAUUGUAAUAAAAUGCAUAUCUGCAUGAUCCUUUACAAGUAUAUUUUCACCUAUUUGGUUCAUCUUCUGUGAUCUGCAGUACAAAAGAAUCAUGUACUAAACCUCUCAAAUUUAUGAACUAUGUUUUUUUUGUUUGACAAAUUAAGUAGACUUAAAAAGUCUCUUAGAUUAUGAUACUAGAAACCAAGUCCAGGGCUUCAUACAUGCUAGUCAAAGACGUCACACAUGCAAAUCCGGGGCUCCACACAUGCAAGGCAAGGGCUUCACACAUGGGAGGCAAGGGCUUCACACAUGGGAGGCAAGGGCUCCACACAUGCAAGGCAAGGGCUUCACACAUGGGAGGCAAGGGCUUCACACAUGCAAGGCAAGGGCUUCACACAUGGGAGGCAAGGGCUUCACACAUGGGAGGCAAGGGCUUCACACUCAGCUACAGCCUUCCUUCCUCUUACGUUCUGCUACUUACAUUUAGUUGUUGUAUACAGCUGUUCCCCUUUACUUCUCUCUUCCCCUUUCAUUCUCCUCAUCUUUAAAGACUAACAACUGUAAUAGUUCAUUGAACCUCUCCAGAAAGCUACGUAUUUUUCCUGUAUUUAGAAUAAUUCACAUUUAAAAAUUCCUAUACAGAGGAAAUUAUAUUGUUUUUCCAGCAGCAGAAGACUGACAGGCACAACAUGUCUAACCGCUGACACAAAACUGACAUAUUCCAUUGAAAAACGGAUUAAAAUAGCUUAUUUUUAAGUUGCUUUUGACCAUGUGAUAGAGUCUCUUGAGCUUAACAUUGUGAAAGUUCUUCCUUAGAAUUAUACUUGUUAAACUUGGUGUUAGCAUAUUCCUCCUUAAAAUACCGAAUAAUGUUAAAUGUUCGCAAUUGAAACAGAAACUCUACUUCAUAAAUAAAUAAAAGGCGCGAUGUUGUCUUCAAUGGAAGUCCCAUUUUAGCUGUGUUCUUCUUUUGAGGUUUUGUAGGUUGAAUCUAAAAUUCUGUCUGUCUUGACAAUGCUGACCUAACCAGAGAGGUGCAGGUCUUCAUUCCCAAAGUGCACCGGCCCCGUCCUUCCUGGCAGAGAGCUUACUUCACCUGUAACUUUACAUGUAUAAUAGGUGAUAUUAAGCCAUUUGCUUCUUCAAGUUUAUAGUUUCUUUAAUCGGCAGAAAGUGGGAGGGCCUUGACUAUUCCACAUUAAUCAUUCAUCCACACCAGAAUUACAACAUUAAUUUAAUUUAAUUUAAUUACAACAUUAAUUUAAUGGGUGGCAAAUUUCCUGUCUACUGAAUACAUUCGCGUAAAUUCUAACAUUCUAGCUAGGCCGUGUGCAGCCCAAAACCAAAACCUAUUGUAAAAUUGAGGUAUGUUGCUACCAAUGGCUGAAGCGUGAAUAUAGUUGUAUAUUCAAUUUGUCAAGGCUGUAUAGGUGAUCUAUGAAAGACAUACUAUAAU
rnacentral:lncRNA from 1 species